rnacentral:rRNA from 1 species
CCUACGGGCGGCAGCAGUGGGGAAUAUUGCACAAUGGGGGAAACCCUGAUGCAGCGACGCCGCGUGAGUGAAGAAGUAUUUCGGUAUGUAAAGCUCUAUCAGCAGGGAAGAAAAUGACGGUACCUGAUUAAGAAGCCCCGGCUAACUACGUGCCAGCAGCCGCGGUAAUACGUAGGGGGCAAGCGUUAUCCGGAUUUACUGGGUGUAAAGGGAGCGUAGACGGCAGCACAAGUCUGGAGUGAAAUGCCGGGGCUUAACCCCGGAAGUGAUUUGGAAACUGGGCAGCGAGAGGGAAGGAGAGGUAAGUGGAAGUACGAGGGGAGAGGUGAAAUGCUUAGAGAUUAGGAGGAAA